rnacentral:rRNA from 1 species
UACGUAGGGGGCUAGCGUUGUCCGGAAUCAUUGGGCGUAAAGAGCGUGUAGGCGGUCCGGUAAGUCCGCUGUGAAAGUCCAGGGCUCAACCCUGGAAUGCCGGUGGAUACUGUCGGGCUCGAGUCCGGAAGAGGCGAGUGGAAUUCCUGGUGUAGCGGUGAAAUGCGCAGAUAUCAGGAGGAACACCACUGGCGAAGGCAGCUCGCUGGGACGGUACUGACGCUGAGACGCGAAAGCGUGGGGAGCAAACAGG